rnacentral:ncRNA from 1 species
AGAUUGAAAUCAGAAGUAUCUAUAUUUCAUUUUGUUUUUAUUUGGCCUCCCUGGCGAGGCUUCUGAUUCUUUCUACACACAGCAGUUCAGCAUCUGUCAGUACUUCUGGUGUUU